rnacentral:rRNA from 1 species
UACGUAGGUGGCAAGCGUUGUCCGGAUUUACUGGGCGUAAAGAGCGCGCAGGCGGUCGUUCAAGUCGCGUGUGAAAGCCCCCGGCUCAACUGGGGAGGGUCACGCGAUACUGAUCGACUCGAAGGCAGGAGAGGGUAGUGGAAUUCCCGGUGUAGUGGUGAAAUGCGUAGAGAUGUGGAGGAACACCAGUGGCGAAGGCGGCUCUCUGGACUGGUAUUGACGCUGAGGUGCGAAAGCGUGGGGAGCAAACAGG